AUUAAUAAUUCAAAAAAGGGAGAAUUUAUCUUGAAAAAGACAUAAACAAGCAAAUACGAGUAUAUUCUCCCAAAGCUCAUCACUCAUCAAGGCACGCGAUUACCACUGCACAGUGGAUCCCGCGCGAUAUCCUGGACGGAUGGGCCCAGAUCUUGCUUACAGGCAGGUGGUCCCCAGUUAUCGCGUUGGAUCCAGCUGGGCCAAUCCGGGGCCCAGCGACCCCUCCGGGUCCCGCUCCGGAUCCCUUGCUCCCGGUGCGCAGAGUCCAGUACACGCUACACGAGCCGUAACCUCCGCUCUUCCCA
rnacentral:lncRNA from 1 species